GGAAGGGUGGCCGAGUGGUUAAAGGCAGCAGACUGUAAAUCUGCCGACGUUAGUCUACGUAAGUUCGAACCUUACCCCUUCCACCA
rnacentral:tRNA from 1 species